AUGGCCAUAUCACAUUGAAACACCAAUUCUUGUAUGAUCACUGAAGUUAAGCCACAUUGAGCUUGGUCAGUACAUAUAUGGGUGACUACUUGGGAAUAUCAGGUACUGUAUG